rnacentral:lncRNA from 1 species
UUUCAUUCCUUUCCUUACCAUCUAGCUGCAAAAUAUCCUGUGGGUUAAAGGAUGGCACAUGGAAUGCGGGGUUUCAAAAACAACAAAAAGGGCUGUCUUUAAUGCUGUGCUAUAAGACGUUUUUCACUAAGGGAUUUUAAAUUAGUUUUCAAGGGGGGUUAUAUUCUAGCAUUCCUUCAAUGAUUCUGACAGAGAUGCAUGGACAAGACAAAUAUCUCAAGACAAACAUAUUUUGUAAUUCUAAAGUUUUAGGGAAAAAGAAGGAAAUUUGGAAUUCAUUUAAUCACACUGGCAAUUUGGUCAAAAUUAUAUAUAUAUUUUUGUAUCAUUGUCAAACAUAAUGUUAUCUUUGUAUCCACUUACAAUAUAAGCCUUUCAAAAGAUAUGUAAUGUGGAAGUGCCACGUUGUUUUUAAGUCUUUGUGACUAUGUCAGCCUUGAGACUGGGUAGGCAUGCCACUUUCCACUGUGUGACCACUAUUCUUGACAGUGGAAUGAGUUAUCACCGAAUGUUAAUGCCUCUCAUGUUCUCUUCAUUAUACAUACUCAUUUUCAUGACAAAGAGUGUAAAAGGAACAGAAUAUGGUGCAAAAUUAAUAUCUUCUCCUGACAAUCUGGAAGCGGUAUUCCAUGAUCUUACACUGAAGGCACAGCUGAGGACUUUGACAACUGUUUUGGCUUGUAAAAACUUAUUGCGCAUAUCUGAGAGAAGAGAAAUUUCCUGGUCUGUAUCCUUCUGAAAGAAAAAACAAACAAACAAACAAACACUAAAAUCCAUAGCAGUCCCAGGUUUUCAUUUUCACGUCUGAGCUGAGAUCUGCUGGUUGACAUUCUCUUGCCCUAGGCAAGUAUUGAUGGGGGGGGGGGGGGGGGGGGGGGGGGAGGAGGAGAAACGGAGGAGAGGUGGAGAGGAUUUUUUUUUCAGACCCCUCUUCUAUUGCAAAUCAACAAGUCUAGCUAAUCUAGAACAGCUGAAUGAAUGUUUGCAUUCCCCAGAAGAGCCUGUUGUAUGCAUUUUUAAGGGUGAUUCUAUGGCUGAAUGUAUAGAUAAUGCCAACCCUCAAAAAUACUUAGUGGAAAAACAAACAUAAGUUCUACAUUUUAAGGAAUGAUCAUUUAGGGUGCUUGAGAAAAUGUAGAUAUCAAAGUCCUCUGAAGACUGCUGAUAUUGCCUGUUUUUUCUAGAGAAACUGAACAAGACAGAAUUCUAGAAUGUAGACUGUUGUUUCAUAAUUAUGGAAAAUUAUCAACUUGAGAGAAG